GACGGGGCCCGCACAAGCGGAGGAACAUGUGGUUUAAUUCGAUGAUACGCGAGGAACCUUACCUGGGCUUAAAUGGGAGUGACGGCUGUCGAAAGAUGGUUUUCUUCGGACACUCUUCAAGGUGCUGCAUGGUUGUCGUCAGCUCGUGCCGUGAGGUGUCGGGUUAAGUCCCAUAACGAGCGCAACCCUUACCGUUAGUUACCAUCAGGUUAAGCUGGGGACUCUAGCGGGACUGCCACCGUAAGGUGAGAGGAAGGUGGGAUGACGUCAAAUCAGCACGGCCCUUAUGUCCAGGGCUACACACGUGUUACAAUGGCCGGUACAAAGGGCAGCUACUUCGCGAGAAGAUGCUAAUCUCGAAAGCCGGUCUCAGUUCGGAUCGAAGUCUGCAACCCGACUUCGUGAAGCUGGAUUCGCUAGCAAUCGCGCAUCAGCCAUGGCGCGGUGAAUACGUUCCCGGGCCUU
rnacentral:rRNA from 1 species